AUUGAACGCUGGCGGCAGGCCUAACACAUGCCAGUCGAACGGUAACAGGAAACAGCUUGCUGUUUCGCUGACGAGUGGCGGACGGGUGAGUAAUGUCUGGGAAACUGCCUGAUGGAGGGGGAUAACUACUGGAAACGGUAGCUAAUACCGCAUAACGUCGCAAGACCAAAGAGGGGGACCCUCGGGCCUCUUGCCAUCGGAUGUGCCCAGAUGGGAUUAGCUUGUUGGUGGGGUAACGGCUCACCAAGGCGACGAUCCCUAGCUGGUCGGAGAGGAUGACCAGCCACACUGGAACUGAGACACGGUCCAGACUCCUACGGGAGGCAGCAGUGGGGAAUAUUGCACAAUGGGCGCAAGCCUGAUGCAGCCAUGCCGCGUGUAUGAAGAAGGCCUUCGGGUUGUAAAGUACUUUCAGCGGGGAGGAAGGGAGUAAAGUUAAUACCUUUGCUCAUUGACGUUACCCGCAGAAGAAGCACCGGCUAACUCCGUG
rnacentral:rRNA from 1 species